rnacentral:lncRNA from 1 species
ACAAUUUCAUAGUUAUUAUAAAGUUUCUCUCAUCACUCUGUGGGAGAUCAGGAUGAAUUCAUUUAUGCAAGAGUAAUUUCUUCCACAGUCAUUUUGUGAGAUGAUUUAUUUGUAGAGGUGGACAGAAAAUAAUAAAGUCCCAGAUUUAAAUAGCACCUUUCAUCCCAAAGGAUCCUAAUGUGCUUUACAAGAUACAUCUCUACACAGGAAUGUCACUUGCCCCUGAAGUGAUAGAUGGCACCUGUUUAGGAGCAUGCACAGAAACACUCCAUAACAGUUUAAAGCAGGCAGUGAAGAAUACCAGAGCCAGUAGAAACCACAGGUGGGAUUGGAAUAUACUCCUAGUAUGGUUCCAUCCCACACUAAUAACAAAAUAGCAUGCAGACAUUUGGAGGAGCCAGAAUCACCUUAUGCUGUGUAUUUUCAGGAUGCAAAGAAAAAAAAAGAAAAGCCAUAUUGAAAUUGUUUGAAGAAGUGAAACCCUGCAUCAGUCAUGGCCUGCCAGAAGCUAUUUGACCAGGUUCAACUACUAGGAAGUCUCUUUCACUGCUCAUUUAUUCUGCCUUUGCCAUGCCUAUUGAUGUCAAGUGUGAACCAUGAGAAAGUUUAGAAAGCCAACAAACAAGCUGUAAACAAGUGACUGAGGUAGAGCUACAUGUUUUAUUGCUGGCCUCUUGCAUCAGGCUCAGAGUCUGGUGUAUUAAACUGCCUUGCACAGUUAUACUGUGCACUGAUUUAUAGUGUUUAUGGCAACCAAAAUUAGAUGACUGUACAGUGUAAAAGAAUGUCAGCCCUGCAUUACAAUCACUGUGUCUUGCUCCAUCUGAGUGAUUUACAGGAAAACACAUUCUGUCAUCAAGCAUUUUUUAAUUUUUUUUUUUCUUUUCAGGAAAUUUGACUUCACUUUUGUGUUAAAUGAUGAUUGCUCGCAAACUGGAAUGGGUGAGCAAUUGUGAAUGCAACAGAAGCUGAAGCCCUUGGAGCUUUUUAAUUUUAUUUUUAGUAUAAAAACAAUUCCAUUUUUAGAUGGAUGUGCACUACUAGUGGGAGGAGAAGGAAACAAUGAACAUGAGAAAUGGAGUAGGUGAAUAUAACAGGAUCCAAUAUUCUGUGCUUUACAGUUGAUCAAAAACUUAAAGAUGAAUACUCUGGAACCAAAAAAGUGUUAAUUUAAAACAGAAAAUGUUAUUAAUGUAGAUACAUGCUUUGCUGAACAGAAAACUUUCCUGAUAAUAAACUUCAGGUAAAUCACA